rnacentral:tRNA from 1 species
UCCCUGGAGGAAUAGUGGUUAGGCCUUAGCACUCUCACUGCCAUGGUCCAGGUUUGAUUCCAAGCCAGGGAA